CGUAUCACCCAAGACAACUUUACGGAGUUGACGAUUGACGGAGCGAAGCGACGUCAAAGCGUUCAUUAAAGUCGAGUUGGCUUAGGGAUACGUUCGUUGGGUAGGGGAGCGUUCUGUAAGCCUGUGAAGGUGUGUCGUGAGGCAUGCUGGAGGUAUCAGAAGUGCGAAUGCUGACAUAAGUAACGAUAAAGCGGGUGAAAAGCCCGCUCGCCGGAAGACCAAGGGUUCCUGUCCAACGUUAAUCGGGGCAGGGUGAGUCGACCCCUAAGGCGAGGCCGAAAGGCGUAGUCGAUGGGAAACGGGUUAAUAUUCCCGUACUUGGUGUUACUGCGAAGGGGGGACGGAGAAGGCUAUGUUGGCCGGGCGACGGUUGUCCCGGUUUAAGGGUGUAGGUGUGUGUUCCAGGUAAAUCCGGUUCACUUUAACACUGAGGCGUGACGACGAGGCACUACGGUGCUGAAGCAACAAAUGCCCUGCUUCCAGGAAAAGCCUCUAAGCAUCAGGUAACACGAAAUCGUACCCCAAACCGACACAGGUGGUCAGGUAGAGAAUACCAAGGCGCUUGAGAGAACUCGGGUGAAGGAACUAGGCAAAAUGGUGCCGUAACUUCGGGAGAAGGCACGCUGACACGUAGGUGAAGUGAUUUACUCAUGGAGCUGAAGUCAGUCGAAGAUACCAGCUGGCUGCAACUGUUUAUUAAAAACACAGCACUGUGCAAACACGAGAGUGGACGUAUACGGUGUGACGCCUGCCCGGUGCCGGAAGGUUAAUUGAUGGGGUCAGCGUAAGCGAAGCUCCUGAUCGAAGCCCCGGUAAACGGCGGCCGUAACUAUAACGGUCCUAAGGUAGCGAAAUUCCUUGUCGGGUAAGUUCCGACCUGCACGAAUGGCGUAAUGAUGGCCAGGCUGUCUCCACCCGAGACUCAGUGAAAUUGAACUCGCUGUGAAGAUGCAGUGUACCCGCGGCAAGACGGAAAGACCCCGUGAACCUUUACUAUAGCUUGACACUGAACAUUGAGCCUUGAUGUGUAGGAUAGGUGGGAGGCUUUGAAGUGUGGACGCCAGUCUGCAUGGAGCCGACCUUGAAAUACCACCCUUUAAUGUUUGAUGUUCUAACGUGGACCCGUAAUCCGGGUUGCGGACAGUGUCUGGUGGGUAGUUUGACUGGGGCGGUCUCCUCCUAAAGAGUAACGGAGGAGCACGAAGGUUGGCUAAUCCUGGUCGGACAUCAGGAGGUUAGUGCAAUGGCAUAAGCCAGCUUGACUGCGAGCGUGACGGCGCGAGCAGGUGCGAAAGCAGGUCAUAGUGAUCCGGUGGUUCUGAAUGGAAGGGCCAUCGCUCAACGGAUAAAAGGUACUCCGGGGAUAACAGGCUGAUACCGCCCAAGAGUUCAUAUCGACGGCGGUGUUUGGCACCUCGAUGUCGGCUCAUCAC
rnacentral:rRNA from 1 species